rnacentral:rRNA from 1 species
GGGUCAGUAGGUUGGUCGUGCCACCGGUACGUACUGGUCUCACUGAUUCCUCCUUCCUGAAGAACCGUAAUGCCAUUAAUUUGGUGUUGCGGGGAAACAGGACUGUUACUUUGAAAAAAUUAGAGUGUUUAAAGCAAGCUAACGAUUGAAUAAAUUAGCAUGGAAUAAUGAAAUAGGACGAUCGAUCCUAUUUUGUUGGUUUCUAGGAUUGACGUA